UAAGUCGUUAGUCCACCUGGUUGGAGGAC
rnacentral:sRNA from 1 species